rnacentral:rRNA from 1 species
GCCCGUCACACCACUGAGAGUUGGAGAUACCCGAAGCCUGUGAGCUAACUUUUAGAGGCAGCAGUCGAAGGUAGAAUCAAUGAUUGGGGUGAAGUCGUAACAAGGUACC